GGGGCAGUAAAUGUAAAAAUUAUCAUAAGGUCAAUUUACAUUUACUUAAAUGGAUAAUGCUGGUUCGAAUCCAGCCUGCCCCA
rnacentral:tRNA from 1 species